GGAUGUGAGGAUGAUCUGGCUGUAGCAUCUGUCAUUUUAGUGAUUGCCAGGGUUGAUUUGGCUGAUACAACUGGUAAGGCAGCUGUCCCCUUCCUCCCUCACUACUUC
rnacentral:sRNA from 1 species